rnacentral:lncRNA from 1 species
AAUUAGUGAUGAGUUCAGAAAUCUGGGAGAGUUGGAGCAGAAUGGGGCAUGUUAUCUGACAAACUUGAAGGAAGUUUAUAGCAUCAAGGAACAGGGCAUACUUUCUUGUUGAAAGAGAAGUAGAAAAUGAAGCUUAGAUUCUAAUAAAUUAGAAGCUAAUAAUAAAUAAAUUGGGAGUAGGGAAGAUCACAACAAAAGCAAAAAUCAGUCUUACUGAAAUCGACGAAGUAGGAGAGGUAGUGUGCUCCUUCAGAAAGAAAAGAAAAAUUUUUUUGUAGAACUUGCUUUCUUUAAGAAAUACAGUAAAGCACCACAGAUCACAUAUUCAAAGUAACUUGAAAAAAAAUGACGUAAAGAGUGAUUAAGGAUUAUAAUUUCACUUUAAUAUUGACUCAGUCUAAAUUAAAUAUUUGACAUCUAAACUACAUUAAAAUGGCUGCCUAGAAUCUAGUGUCUGAAGUUGGAGCCUCUUGAAGUU